AGCUCUAGUUGCUGGAAAGUUCAAGAUCAAGGUCCAGCAGGAUUCAGUUUCUGGAGAGCUGAAGUUGCAGGGCAAGCAAAUGCUCUGAGUUCCAAAGAGUGACAAGCUCUGUGAGGAGAAACAGUACACACAAAUUUUCACCUUUGGCAAGACAUGAGAGGAUGAGAUGGUCACCGUAGAAGUGGGUAGAAUCCAAAGAUAGUCUGAGAGCAAUCAAAGGUUGUGGUGAGGAACAUGGAUGUUGAAAUGGUGGAAACAUGGGUAUGACAGCCGAUUCUGCCCCUCACUAGCUCUGUAAUUUGCAAGCUGUGAUAUCAAUCAGCAUUCUGCAACUAUGGUGUAAAUCAGCUGUUGGCCAACUUUCUUGAAAAAAAUCUUCAAAAUAUCCACAAAAUUAUGGAAGUAUUACAAGAUAAU